UUGAAUACAACUUGGGACUCCAGAACUUCGAAAGAAGACAUGGAAGAUAUGUGGAUUCAUCCCAAUGUUAAUAAGGAAUGGAUGAAGUCAGGAGAGAAAAAGGGAAAAGUUCAAUUUUCUCAUGACACAGAGAGGAGGCCUUAUCUUUCCCAUGUGGAACUAAGGGCUCCAGGAAUGGUUCAAUGAUGAGGGAACUCCAAAUUCCGCUACUAGGAAGUCACCAUCUUGGAAUUGAUGAUACCAAAAAUAUUGCAAGAGUGGUACAACACAUGCUUAUAGAUGGUGCUCUUUUGCAAAUUACUGCAAGGAGAUUACGUGGUUCUCCUGAAAAAGUGGGAGUAUAUUGGCGUCACUUGGUUCCUUUCAGCAAAUGUGGUUUUCAAAAUCUGAGUUUGAGGAACAUGGAGCUUCUAAUGUUCAAAGAAAAUGCCCGUAAAGUACUUUACUGGUGCAGACAAUUAUCACAUUAGACAUAAAUUCAUGGAGCUGACUUCACUUUGAUUAGUUCGCUGACGGUAUGGGUUGCUCGGUUUUAAUAUCCUGCUUUAUAGGCGCCCAAACAAUGUACUAUAUAUAUUUACUAUACCUCUCGCGAAUCGUUGCUAAUGUUGUACAAUUACGUUACCUGACUUUUAGUUCAACAAAUUAUACUUGUUAGGGAAUCUUUCAAGUUUGUACUUGUUAUUGACUUUUAGUUCAACAAAUUAUAUUUGAGCAUUGACUUUUGCUUUUAGAUUA